rnacentral:rRNA from 1 species
AUUGAACGCUGGCGGCACGCCUUACACAUGCAAGUCGAACGGUAACAGGUCUUCGGAUGCUGACGAGUGGCGAACGGGUGAGUAAUACAUCGGAACGUGCCCGAUCGUGGGGGAUAACGAAGCGAAAGCUUUGCUAAUACCACAUAAGAUCUACGGAUGAAAGCAGGGGACCGCAAGGCCUUGCGCGAACGGAGCGGCCGAUGGCAGAUUAGGUAGUUGGUGGAAGAAAAGCUUACCAAGCCGACGAUCUGUAGCUGGUCUGAGAGGACGAGCAGCCACCCUGGGACUGCGGCACGGCCCAGACUCCUACGGGAGGCAGCAGGGGGGAAUUUUGGACAAUGGGCGAAAGCCUGAUCCAGCCAUGCCGCGUGCAGGAUGAAGGCCUUCGGGUUGUAAACUGCUUUUGUACGGAACGAAAAGACUCUGGUUAAUACCUGGGGUCCAUGACGGUACCGUAAGAAUAAGCACCGGCUAACUACGUGCCAGCCGCCGCGGUAA